UGUCAUGCAGGAGAACUAUGAGAAUGUGACCUCGCUGGCAUCACCCCAAUAUGCCAGUGACACACACGCUGUCGGAGACCGUCCCCUGCUGCAGGACACUUUGGGAACAGAGCACAGGAGCCGUAUUGCACAGCGUCAAAUAUCUCCUGUUUGCUCAAGUAAAACUGAGGAUUAGGUGUGGCAGAAGCUUCCUACCCCUGACCUCUCAAACCCUGAGCCUUCUCUACCCAGACCUGAAUGUGCUUGGGGUGUAACGAGCAGGCUGCUGGAGUCAGAGCUGCUGGUCCAGGGUUACUUGUCACACAGACGCUCCGUGUGUCCUUGAAUGCUGGCUGGGAGUAUCCAGAGAAGGAAGCUCAGUGGCGGAUUUAGCGUUAGUGGGGCCUUGUGCUCAGCUCCAUUUUUGGGGUCCCUCCUUGGGACCCAGGC